rnacentral:tRNA from 1 species
AGCAGCGUGGCUCAGUAGAAAGAGCCCGGGCUUGGGAGUCAGAGGUCUGGGUUCAAAUCCCAGCUCUGCUG